UACGUAGGUGGCAAGCGUUGUCCGGAUUUAUUGGGUUUAAAGGGUGCGUAGGCGGCUUUGUAAGUCAGUGGUGAAAUACUCCAGCUUAACUGGAGGGGUGCCAUUGAUACUGCGGAGCUUGAGUACAGAUGAGGUAGGCGGAAUUGACGGUGUAGCGGUGAAAUGCAUAGAUAUGUCACAGAACACCAAUUGCGAAGGCAGCUUACUAUGGUGCAAUUGACGCUGAGGCACGAAAGCGUGGGGAUCAAACAGG
rnacentral:rRNA from 1 species